rnacentral:ncRNA from 2 species
AACAACGCGCAGGGGUCCUGCGGCCAAUCUAAACUGGCCGACGGUGAGAAAUACCCUUCGAACCUGAUCUGGGUAAUGCCAGCGAAGGAAGCGCUUUGGUCGAGGAA